rnacentral:rRNA from 1 species
UGGGGAAUUUUGCACAAUGGGGGAAACCCUGAUGCAGCGACGCCGCGUGAUUUAGAAGGCCUUCGGGUUGUAAAAAUCUUUUCUAUGGGAAGAAAAUGACAGUACCAUAGGAAUAAGGACCGGCUAAUUACGUGCCAGCAGCCGCGGUAAUACGUAAGGUCCGAGCGUUGUCCGGAAUCAUUGGGCGUAAAGGGUACGUAGGCGGGUAAGCAAGUUAGAAGUGAAAUCCUAUAGCUCAACUAUAGUAAGCUUUUAAAACUGCUCAUCUUGAGGUAUGGAAGGGAAAGUGGAAUUCCUAGUGUAGCGGUGAAAUGCGCAGAUAUUAUGAGGAAUACCGGUGGCGAAGGCGACUUUCUGGCCAUAACCUGACGCUGAGGUACGAAAGCGUGGGUAGCAAACAGG